CUACGGGACGCUGCAGUGAGGAAUAUUGCGCAAUGGGGGGAACCCUGACGCAGCAACGCCGCGUGAGUGAUGAAGGCUUUCGGGUCGUAAAGCUCUGUCAAGUGGGAAGAACCUAUGCAGUGUUAAUAUCACUGUAUACUGACGGUACCACUGAAGGAAGCACCGGCUAACUCCGUGCCAGCAGCCGCGGUAAUACGGGGGGUGCAAGCGUUAUUCGGAAUCAUUGGGCGUAAAGGGCACGUAGGCGGCUUGGUAAGUCAGAUGUGAAAGCCCGGGGCUUAACCCCGGAAGUGCAUUUGAUACUGUCAGGCUUGAGUAUGGGAGAGGGAAGUGGAAUUCCUGGUGUAGAGGUGAAAUUCGUAGAUAUCAGGAGGAACACCGGUGGCGAAGGCGACUUCCUGGACCAAUACUGACGCUGAGGUGCGAAGGCGUGGGUAGCAAACAGGAUUAGAUACCCCCGUAGUC
rnacentral:rRNA from 1 species